rnacentral:rRNA from 3 species
GGACUACUGGGGUAUCUAAUCCCGUUCGCUCCCCUGGCUUUCGCGCCUCAGCGUCAGUAGAGGUCCAGCACGCCGCUUUCGCCACCGGAGUUCCUGAUGAUAUCAACACAUUUCACCGCUCCACCAUCAGUUCCGCAUGCCCCUACCUCACUCGAGGCGAUCAGUAUCAAGGGCCAUUCUCCAGUUGAGCUGGAGGAUUUCACCCCUGACUUGCUCGCCCGCCUACGCGCCCUUUAAGCCCAGUGAUUCCGAACAACGUUUGCACGGUUCGUCUUACCGCGGCUGCUGGCAC